AGACACAAAAUAGCCAAGCUUAGGGAGAGAGGGAGUUGGAAAACAGAAAGCUGGUAAUAGAAUAAGGGAGGCAUGUUCCAACCCCACAAAAGUAGCAGAACAGGGCAGCUUUGGCCAUGUGUUUCUGGCUUUAGAGUAAAAAAUAGAAGGGACUACUGGGACAAUUGAUGCUGGUUAGCUGGAGCUAAAAAAUUAGUGGUGAUUAAAAAGAGACCAGAAUCACUGAAGUAAAAGCUCCUGUGAAGUGUUUUCUGAGAGCACAAAGAAGAUAUGUUCCAGAGAUAGCUAAAGUUGUACCUUGUGCUGCAGCUGUACUUGGUAGUGUGUAAGAGUCACCCAGGUGGUACUGGUUUUGAAGGCAUGAAGGGGUCAUGAAGAACAACUGAGGCUUGGCACUGUGAAAGGCUAUGGAAGGCCGGUGGUGAAGGUGCAGCCUCAGUUGCAGUUGAUGGCCCAGGACUGAAGGGGUCAUGCAAAGGAGUUGAGGCUUGUCAGCAUGAAGAGAGCCUGAGAGGCUCUUGAUGAAGCCUCGUUGCAGUGGAAGACUCCAGAGUGUUGGAGAUGCCAGUACCAUGGUAUGCUCACCAAAGACAGCAGCAGCAGUGAAGUGGAUAUAUCUGAGCUUAGAGUGCUACAGAGGGUAGAGCAGGAGAAGUGACCCCAGCCCUUUGGAGAAGCCCAGAUGAUCACGUGUGGAUCCCAGACAUUGGAACAAAAAGCUGUAAUAUUGAAGUUGCAUUGAAGGCCCCAAGAUAUUAAAGAUGCCAGAGCUGUGGGCUAUCUGCUGAGGAAAGCUGCUAACAGGAAGUGAAAAAACCCAGG
rnacentral:lncRNA from 1 species